rnacentral:miRNA from 1 species
CUCUGUUCUUUUGCAUCUUUCA